rnacentral:rRNA from 1 species
UCAGAACGAACGUUAGCGGCGCGCCUAAUACAUGCAAGUCGAGCGAGAAAGGGCUUCGGCCCCAGUAAAGCGGCGCACGGGUGAGUAACACGUAGGUUAUCUCCCCUCGAGUGGUGGAUAACCCUCCGAAAGGAGGGCUAAUACAGCAUGAGACCACGACCUUCUAGGUUGCGGUCAAAGCAGGCCUCUUCAUGAAAGCUUGCGCUCAAGGAUGAGCCUGCGGCCCAUCAGCUAGUUGGUAAGGUAACGGCUUACCAAGGCUAAGACGGGUAGCUGGUCUGAGAGGAUGAGCAGCCACACUGGAACUGAAACACGGUCCAGACUCCUACGGGAGGCAGCAGUAGGGAAUCUUGCGCAAUGGACGAAAGUCUGACGCAGCGACGCCGCGUGAGCGAUGAAGGCCUUCGGGUUGUAAAGCUCUGUGGGGAGAGACGAAUAAGGCAUGGCUAAUAUCCAUGUCGAUGACGGUAUCUCCUUAGCAAGCACCGGCUAACUCUGUGCCAGCAGCCGCGGUAAGACAGAGGGUGCGAACGUUGUUCGGAAUUACUGGGCGUAAAGCGCAUGUAGGCGGCAGCGCAAGUCGGGCGUGAAAUCCCACGGCUCAACCGUGGAAGUGCACUCGAAACUGCGCAGCUAGAGUCCUGGAGAGGAAGGUGGAAUGCUUGGUGUAGAGGUGAAAUUCGUAGAUAUCAAGCGGAACACCGGUGGCGAAGGCGGCCUUCUGGACAGUGACUGACGCUGAGAUGCGAAAGCGUGGGGAGCAAACAGGAUUAGAUACCCUGGUAGUCCACGCCGUAAACGAUGAGUGCUAGGUGUCACGGGCUUUGACCCUCGUGGUGCCGAAGCUAACGCGUUAAGCACUCCGCCUGGGGAGUACGGCCGNCAGGGCUAAAACUUAAAG